ACUUCAUUUUAUGUCAACGGAGUUAACGCUCAUUUCAUUUCAAGUCUUUACACGUGCCUUUUCUUUACCAUUUCUUCAAUUAUGGGAGGAACACAGUCAAAUCUGAAUGUACAUAAUCCAGAGUUAAGCAGUGACAAUAUUGAAGGUGAAAUACACCAUAGCGAACACUGUGGGUGUAAACGUUUGGUGUGGUCAUUUAAAACAUAUUGUGGGCUUGGGGAAGAUGUUGUUAUUUACGUACUACUACGGAAAUGUAAAUGCGGAAUCUAUAACGAUAGGAGUUUCUUUGAUACCACGAGGAUGCAUGAUAUACAACACUUCCCAAUGGACGGCAUAGCACUAAGUCACAAUCCAGACAUGAGAAUUGUCACUGAGAAAUUCCACCAAAAUGAGAGAAUAUGUUACAAACUUGUGAAAUUACAUGCUGGAACAGCGAAAGCAAAAUCACAUCAACCGUCCUAUUCCUAAAAAGACAUAAUUCCACACAAUGUUUUCAAAGCACAUGCCAACUAAAAGUUACCUGUCCAACCAAACAACAUUUUGAAUGAACAGUCUGUUGCCUUAUUAAAGACCUUUUCUGUAAAUUUAAAUUAUUGCUGUAACCGUCAAUGCGGAGAGGUGAACUUCACUACAGCGAUGUGUGUGAUGUGAUCAAAGUAUAAGCCUAUUAUAUCAAUGAUCACAUGAAAGCCUAUGCAUUCAUUCGCAAAUGCGAGUGUGGCGAAUAUGAGGAUAGGUUUUCCAUUCUAACGAACUAUUUAGUAGAGCAAGUACCACAAAACGGCGUGGACGUACAUGCCAACAAAGACUGUGGAUAUAGCAGAACUAUUGAAUGCACAAAACAUGGACAAAAAUCAUAUCGAUUCGAAAUUACAUGCCAUUGUCAACACCGAAACAGAACUAGACGCCAGGCGGAGUAUAAUACACCUUAGAAACUUGGAUUAAAGAGAGACAAAACUAAAACCUUGUGAUAUCUGGGCGAUCAUGGUAAUGCUAACUAUGAAUGUCACAAUGAUUAUUCUUAUCAGUUCAUAAAGCGUGGAUUUGCAGUUAAAUAAGACAAAUCAAAAUUACGCUGUAGAAAUAGAACAAGAACAAAGGACACAUUAUAAAACAAACUACGUGUAAGAUGAAUAUGGCAAAUCAAGGGGCAUGAAGUGAAACGGUGAACAGUAUACGCUGGCCUAUCUUUAUUUCGUAUACCAUGAUCAGCUAACUAUGAAGAUUUAUUACAUGAAAAAUCAGAUAUAAAGACUUGUUAUUUUCAUUUAAUAAUGACUUAUCAUAUAUGUUGAUUUGUAUAUUUGCUGAUAAUAUCAUCGGUUUGAUUUGAUAUCGAAACCAGUAUAUAUCAUUGGGUCUCACUGCAUAUUAGUUCUAAAACAAAUAUUUAUCGAUAAUUGUUUAAAAAAUCCUGUUGCAAAUAGUAGUGGCAGAAGUAUAGAUAGUCAUUAUAAUAAAUUAUUGUUAAUUUCUGAACAUCAUUUAACUGUUGUUUUUAUCUCUUUUUUUACCACAAUGACAAAUACUUAACAUGCACAUCCAAAACUUUCUCAACUACAGCACUACUGUUUGGCUUGAAUAACUCUCAUACAUGACAUUCUUAUUUGCUGUGAAAUUACAUGUACAUAUUGCAUGUCAAACGUUGUAACAUUCAGUCAUCUGAGUAUUUGCUCUAUAGUUUAUAUCUAUAUCAGUACCUUAUAGUUUUGCUAAUUCUACGACAUCAAGUGUUCCUACAAUGACACAGAGGUAACUUCAGUUUAUUGAACGGCACUACAAUCUCCGUGAUUGGCACACCAUUUUUGAUGGUCAUGCGCAAACCUAUAGGUAUACAUGUAGAGGUGCACUUAAAAGAAUACUCCGCCUGCUUUUGUUGCGUAUUGUCAAUUAAGUUCAAUUAUGGGGAAUAUAUGGUUUCUUCUUAAUAACCUGGAGGCAGCCAGUAAAAACUUUGAAGGUGAAAAACAUCUUAAAGAACAAUGCGGGAGUGUUUUUCGCGAGUGGAGAACACAUGGAAUUGUCAUUUAUGUUCUACUACGGAGAUGUAAAUGCGGAAGGUACACAGAUAUGAGUCACACUGAUACUGACGCCCUUGAAAAAAUGUUUUUUCCAAAGGAUGGUAUAGUACUUAGUAAAAAUCCCGAAAUGAGAAUUGUGGGACAACGUCAGUUUGAAGGUUCAGUACUAUGUUACAAAUUUGUGAAAAUACAUCCUGGAACACCAAGGGCAAGAACAUAUCAACCGUAAGAAGGAUUUGAAGGUUGAGCAGCGGUACUAUGUGAUAUCGAUACCAUAUAUGGAUCCCAUGGCUAAUGGAUUUUGGAAAAUUAUGUGCUCAGAGAUGUUCUUCAUUUGUACUGCGACGACAAUAAAGAAUGUGCUUAUAUGACAAAUUAACUAUUUUUUUACGCGUACGAUAGUCGAUAGAGAGACUUGAUUUAUUUACCAUGUGUAAUGUCUGAAAUUAGCAAUUAUAUAUAUAUAUGUAUAUAUAAAGUAAAUCAUACGAAUGAAUAAAGCGAUAGUACAACAUUCCAAUUUCUAACUCAAAUUAUGGUACCUUGUGACUGUUUUGAUUUACUGUGGCAUACAUUGAACAAGAUAAUCAUUUAAAUGCAAUAAGAUGAUCGUAGCUGCUUUGAAGUUUUGUUGUUUUAAUUAUAAAGCUUGUGAAGUUGGCUUUGUUUUCAUUUGAAGCAAACAGCAACUAAACAUUAAAGGAUCAGUUGUUCAA